AUCUCCCGCCCCAUGCUGGAAGGUGCAGCUGUAGGUCCGAAUUCUAAUAAGGGCUUUGCUCAUGCCUCUGAGGUUAUGGUAAUAUUUUAUCCAUCUUUUUUCAUUGAGACCCAGUCAUGGCCGCUAUUGAGAACUGGAGGCAGGUUUUAGCUAAGUGAAAACUUGAAGUAAUUGUUAACGCCCCACCUCGCGGGUCCUGAGGACACAGCCCAGCGAAGAGCGCCAAGGCCGCGUACCUGCCGGGAGACCCUCGAAGGACGAUUUCGAGUGACCGGUUAAAUGACAGCAGGUCAGGACGUGGGGCUCCCAGCACCUGCUCGAGGGAAGUGAGCAGCCCCCGAGACGGGGUCCUUUUGGAGAAGAGGCAGAACACACGAAGAAGGCACGGCGGCCACCGGGAACAGGACAGCGAAGGACAGAAGGAAACCAAGUGGGGGUGAAGGAGUCUCACAAAAGGAACUAAUGACAGACCCUCCACACCGUCCAUCUUCUCAGCACCGCAGCCAGCACCACCCAUUAAGGAAACCGUGCGGAAGAGAAGAGACACACAAAAAAGUAUGCUCUCGAACUGAAAAUCGUUCCCAUGAGAUGAACAGGAAUAGAAAAUGCAGGUCGUAUUCGCACAGAACUAUCGUAGGAAAAUUGACACUCUGAGUCAACACAUAAAAGCUGAUGAAAUUCUCUGGAAAAAAAAAAAAUCAACCACGAGGCAGGAGGGCAUUG